rnacentral:rRNA from 1 species
GACGAACGCUGGCGGCGUGCUUAACACAUGCAAGUCGAACGGAGUGGCGAACGGGUGAGGAACACGUGGGUGAACUGCCUUGCACUUCGGGAUAAGCAUGGGAAACGGGGUCUAAUACCGGAUAGUGCAAGAUGAGCUCGCGGACUAUCAGCUUGUUGGGGGGGUAAUGUCCUACCAAGGCCGCGACGGGUAGCCGGCCUGAGAGGGUGUACGGCCACAUUGUGACUGUGGUACGGCCCAGACUCCUACGUUAGGCAGCAGUGGGGCAUAUUGCACAAUGGGCGGAAGCCUGAUGGAGCGACCCCGCGUGGUGGCUGAAGGCCUUCGGGUUGUAACCUUCUUUCGAAUGGGACGCGGUACCUGUAUAAGAAGCACCGGCUAACUACGUGCCAGCAGCCGCGGUAAUAC